rnacentral:rRNA from 1 species
GCAUAUACAAAGAGAAGCGACCUCGCGAGAGCAAGCGGACCUCAUAAAGUAUGUCGUAGUCCGGAUUGGAGUCUGCAACUCGACUCCAUGAAGUCGGAAUCGCUAGUAAUCGUAGAUCAGAAUGCUACGGUGAAUACGUUCCCGGGCCUUGUACACACCGCCCGUCACACCAUGGGAGUGGGUUGCAAAAGAAGUAGGUAGCUUAACCUUCGGGAGGGCGCUUACCACUUUGUGAUUCAUGACUGGGUGAAGUCGUAACAAGGUAACCGUAGGGGAACCUGCGGUUGGAUCACCUCCUUACCUUAAAGAA